GGGAGGUUAGGUUAAGGAAGACCAUUAGCC
rnacentral:tRNA from 2 species